rnacentral:piRNA from 1 species
UGACCAGCAAGUAAACGAAGUCCACAGU